rnacentral:lncRNA from 1 species
AAUCUCUUCGUCUCGUCAAGUACUACAACUUUCCUUUUUGUUUCACUCAAUUUCGUUGAGUAUUGAAGAAGUUAUACGCAUUUGAAAAAUACCCAGUUUCCGGCGACCUCCGAGGCUUUCGAGGCAGUUUCCGGCCAAACCACGGCGAACUAGGUGUUGUGCAAGGUACCAUUAUCUUUUUCUCUUCAAGGGCUACAACUUUCGUUUUUGAAUCACUUGAUUUCGUUGAGAAAUGACAAAGUUAUGGCAAUUUGAAAAACUGCCCAGAAAACGGCCGCCGGAAAAACCAGUCCGGCGACCCAAGGAAGAAGAAGGUGCUACAGUAAAAAUAAAAAAUAAAAAUAAAAUUAUUUUAAAAAUAUGUCGACGUCCGUGACGUCGAGUAGAUCACUGUGGUAUAUUCAUAUACCUAAAUUGAACACCGUAUGAGAAAGUUAUUAAGGAUUGUUGGUUAGGUGUUCAAAUAACGUUUUAUAGUUUUCACAUUUAGGUGAAAAUGUGAAUUGAUGAUCCGACCGUUGGAUCAUCACCAAACCUUGAUACGUUGUAAUACGUAAUAUUUGAGGAUUAUUGGAACUUACAGAUUGGGAAUCCGAUUUGCGGAUCUUCCGGAAUUGGAAUUGUAAGUCCAUAAUAUAAAAUGUUAACCGUCACUUAGUUUUGGAAAUUGACGGAGAUCCGACCGUUGGAUGGUAAUGAAAUUUUAGGAUGUUAUCCUAGAGAUAUAUUGUGGACCUCUGGAAGUUAUGGAUUUAAAAUCUGAGGGGUGGAUCUUCCGGAUCAAUCUACGUAGUGACGUAUUUUAUAUAAGUUAUAUAUUCUAUCGAUAUGAAUUCUGAGGUUGGAUUUGAUUACUAUUCUAGGCGGCGAUCGUCGUGACGCCUUGUUGUGAGGUGCUAGGGAGUUGUUGGACGAACUCCAGGUGAGUGGGCAGUUUUGUUUUCCGUAUAUAUAUAUAUACUUAACGUUUUCCCAGAAAUUGAAAAUGCAUGAAAUUAUGUUUAAAAUGAAAUGCAUAUGAGUUAUGUGGAAAAACGGGAAGUGAAAUACCAUGCAUAGAAUUGAUAUGAAAAGUAUAUAGAAAUGUGAGUUGAAAUGCCAUGCAUGAAUUAAUAUAUAUGAUGCAUAUGUAUGAAUUGGUGCGGUGGACGCACAAGUAAGAAUUGAUUUAUGAUGCAUAUGUAUGAAUUGGUGCGGUGGACGCACAGGUAAGAAUUGAUUUAUGAUGCAUAUGUAUGAAUUGGUGCGGUGGACGCACAGGUAAGAAUUGAUUUAUGAUGCAUAUGUAUGAAAUGGUGCGGUGGACGCACAGAUGAGUAUUUAAUUACUGUUAUGAUGAUGAUGAUGAUAUAUAUAUUGAGCUCAAAUCCUGCACCAUGGUUUAGUGCUUAUAUAGUAUUCACCGCAUCGCACGCUCGCCUUGGAUCCAAGUAGAUGCUAGUCGUACAGUCCACGCGGAGUGGGUACGACAGACCAGUCGCGAGAGUGUUAGUGAGAUUCCGACUGGUGGGUGACCUUAGAUUAUGUGCACAGAUGAUUUAUGAGAAGCACUAGAGCGUAACUUGCGUUGCAGAAGGCCGGACGGGUCACAGAGGUGACUCCGGUAGAGUGAUAAUGAUAGAUUUUGAGCUCUAGGUUCAACCGUACAGGGCUAUUAGAGGGCCUACGGUUGAUUACUUUCUUGCACCUGAUAUGAUUAUGUUGAUGCAUUCAUACCUUAUUACUGUUGAGAUGAUGUGGCAUGGCAUAAUUAAUAUGAGAAAUGUUGAGAUGAUGUGGCAUGGCAUAACUGAUAUGAAAAAUGUUGAAAAAGUGAAAUGAAGUAUUGAGAAUAUAUAUGUAUAUUUAUAUUUUACAUUUCUGGGAAAGUAUACAGGUUUUACGGAGAGGGGUUACAACGUUAUGAGAAAUGUUUGGAUUUGGAAAAGAAUUGUUUUACUGACCCACUCAAUUUUGGUUUUGCGCCCCUCCAGGUUCAGGAAUCACAAAGGUGUGGUGACUACGAGGAAUACGGCGGGGUUCUGACAGAUUGACAAAAUUAGGACUCACCUUCGGGUGUAUCAACUUAUAAAUUGUAUCUUAAAGCUUCCGUACUGUGCAAAUGGUUACGUCACUCUCACGUGACGGCCAGCAUGCCCUCAUUCGGGACGGGGUGUGUCAGUUGGUAUCAGAGCAUGGUUGCAAUCUUGGACAUCUUGAGAAGUUUCUAGUGAAUUCUGUCAGAACUACACCGCCUCGUAGCACACCACGUAGUUAGAGGAAUUUAGUCUCCCUAAUAUAGCGGUUUUGGGGGGAAACUAUUACUAUGGUGAUUCAGUCUAUUGUCUAAAGGGGCAUUUUAAGAUGGGUUAUGAGUUGAAUUUGAAUCACUUAAGAGAAAUGAUGAACCUGAGGGAGCGAAGUAACGGUUUAACCAUUUGGAAAAGAUGUUUCGGAUUAUGCAAGUCAAAGGAAUCUUCCUUCUGACAAGGGGUCGAGAUGACUACCUGGUUUGAGUAUGAACGUGUAUCUUGAUGGAAGCAGGAGUAUUAAUUGUUGUCACCAGAGGAAUCAGUCGAUUUAAAAUUGUUUAAGGACUUGUUUAAGGAAAAGUUUAUCCCUCCGGCAUUUAUCGAUGGUAGUAAACAAGAGUUUACAAAUAUGAGACAAGGAAGGUGAUGAUCGAGGGAUAUUAUAGAAAGUUUUCAGACUUGCCUCGUUCCAUCCAGAUAUUGUUGUUAAUUUGGUGGAGGUGUUAUGUUGUUUUAAGCUGGGUGGCAAAAAGGGAAGUGGUAUUUUGGGUGACCACUAUCCAUUAUACUUCUUACCAGGAAUAUACGAGAUGCUGUUGAGUCUUGAGGACUCUGAGAACAUGAGCAACGAGAAUAAAGAAGAAUAAGAAAUGAAUGGGAAUUAAAAGAAGACGAUAAAGUUAAUGAUUCGUCAUAUCAAGGAGAUAGAAAGAUUCAGAGCUUCGAAAGAAGUGAAGCUAGAGUUAAUUCUUCCAGCUGAGGUUUUAAUGUCGCUGGUCAGAGUAAAAGUGAUGGAUAUACUGGUAAUCCCAGAUAUUUGAGACAAGGUGUCUCGAGUAAAGGAAAUGUACCUUGUGCAGCAGGUACAAAAUUAACACUUUGGGAAGUGUGAAAUUAAUGAAUGUGUUUAUGUGAACAGAGGGGACACAGAAUUGUGAAUCGUCCCUAGAAUCAGUUGUACUCAAUAAUUUUCCAUGAUAUCAUAGUGUCGAUUCAGAAGAGUUAUAAACUUAGUAGUUUGGUCGGAUUGACUGUGAGUACAGAGAGAUUUGAUGAGUUAUAUGUUCAGCCGUACAGACCAUGAGAAGUGGAUUCGAUUGACACAUGAGAAAUUGGUGAGUUAUAGGCUCGGCCGUACCGACCACGCGGAGUGGAUCCGGCUGACGUAUUAUUGAGAUAAGAGUUGAAUCAACCGUAUUGGUCAUUCUAGUUGACUUCGGCUGAUAUAUUUCUUAUUAUGUAUGUUAUUACCUAGAGAGUAGUAAAUAAAUGUAGUUGAGACGAGUGUAUGUAUUUUGCCUUGAGUAACAAAAUAGUAAUGUUAUAUCUUUGAGAGUGGUUGCCUACUUAUCGAGACAACGAUGAUUUAUCAGUAUUGCGGGCUGCAGACCGUAAUAUUAAUAACUCAUUCGUGGAUUCGUUAAGCAAGCAAACCGGUAGGUUAUUUUAUGUUAGUGUUGUACUUAUUUAGAAUGCUUAAUAAUAAUAGAAUAUAUAUUGUAUCAGUUAAUUAUGUUCCAUUAGAUUGGUUGGUUAUAAUUGUGACAAGACGGAAUGUUACGGGAAACCAGUACUUUCCAUCGAUCUGGAUGACCAGAGAUUACUUUUGUAAGUAUGCAAAGUGGAUUGAGUCAGGCCGUUAUUUAUGCUGUGAGAGCAAAGAGAUUGUUUUCGAAAGGCUGUCAAAAAUACUUAGCUCAUGUGGUGCUAAAUGAUGUUGUUUGGAGUAGUGUGAAUAAUGUCGAAAGAGUUAGACUUUUCUUGAUGUCUUCCUUGAAAGUAUACCUGGAUUGCCUUCAGGCAGAGAUGAGGUUCAUUAUUGAUUUGUUGCCAGGUAUAAAUUUAUAUUGGAGAUUGGUUCAGGAUGAGUUAAGGGAAUUGGAAAUUCAGUUGAAAGAAUUGGUUGAUAAAAGUUUCAUUCAACCUAGUACAACACUUUUGAGGAGCCCCAGUUUGUUGGUGAGAAAGAAAAUGGACUUAGAGAUUGUUCAUUGAUUAUAGACAAUGAAGUCGGGUAACGAUUAAGAACCGUUAUCUAUGGUGAUGUACUGAUGUUUAUUUAACCAGCUCAGAAGUAAUUGCGAAGAUUCAAAGAUUGAAUUGAGAUCUGGUUACUACCAAUUGAAUAUUAUAAGUGACGUUGAUCAUAAGAUGGUUUCUGGACUUGUUAUGAUCCUUAUAAAGUUUGGUGAUGCUAUGUGGAUACUCAUGCGGUUUUAUGAGUUGAUGGAUGAAGUAUUCCAAUAAUGCCUUGAUAAUUGAUAUCAUUUUCAUUGAAGAUAUUCUGGCAUAUUCUGAGCCAGAGCAGAGCAUGUAAACGUAUUAAGUCGGUAGAACAAAGAUUGGAAGAAUGUCGAUUGUAUGCUAAGUUUAGCAAAUGCGAAUGUUGGAUGAAUCAAGCAGCAUUUCUGGGAUAUGUUAUAUAUUCUUAAGGUAUUCAAGUGAAUCCUUAAAAGGUAACAGAAAUUAAAAUUUGGAACAACCACGAGUCGUAAUUGAGAUUUGGAAUUUCUUAGCUUACCAGGCUAUCUUGGAUGGUUGUGAAAGAUUUUUUCAGUCAUUGCUUUGUCAUUGACGAGACUGUUGAGAAAAGAGGUUAGGUAUGAGUGGGAAGGAAUUGUAAGCAAAGGAUUCAACAACUGAAGUAUUUCCACACUCAUGCACGUAUUUUGGUAUUCCCAGAGAAUAGUGGUAAUCAUAAAUUUUUAGUGAUGUUUCUUGAAUGGUAUUGGAGGCAUGUUGAUGCAAAUGUUAGGGUGAUUGCAUACGUUUCACGAUAAAUGGAAUCUCAUAAGAUGAAUUACCCUACUGGUGAUUUGGAAGUCACGAUUACCAUUCUUGCUGUGAAGUUAUGGAGACAUUAUAUUUUAGUGGGAAUGCAAGAUUUUUUUUUUUACGAAUCCAAAAAGUCUUCAAUAUCCAUUACUUGGAAGGAUUUUGAUAUGAGGCAGCGAAAGUGAAUUGUAUUGCUUAAUGAACAUGAUUGUACGAUCAGGGUGAUCGUAAAGUUUGUUCUAGCUGAAGCACUUGGUGAGAAGACUACAGUAAGAUUAAUAUCUGGCAUGUUUGCCAAGAGUAUCAUCUUGUGGAUUGAAAACCAACGGAAGAAAAAUUAAGGAUGGAAGAUCGAGAAGAAGUUAUACUUGUUAAGUAACAAGUUAGUACAUUUACUCCAGUGUUGAGUAACAACCUUUCCCAGACAGUGCAACACUACUUAUUUGUUUUAUGGAAAAGAGAAUUGGAUUACGGAACUGCUAAGUUUCUUAAGUAUGUUGGUUGUGCAGUUUCCGAAGUAACGCCAUAAGGACCAUGAAAUGUGUCACGUGAGUCAGUUUUUGAUGACUUGUGAAUGGAAUGUUUCUGGGUAGAGAAAGAUUCGAUCAAGAAAGAGUUUUAGUAGACCCUGAGACUAUGGAUGAGUCUCCUCAAAGUAUUCAGGUGAUUAAGUUAACCUGAAGUAACCAGGAAUGGCAAAAGAGAUCAACAGAUGGAUAUGCCACUAAUCGAGUGUGUAAGGUAAAUGGUUUGAUAUUUUUGGAAAAUUCACCACGAACAGAAAUGACGAGAAUUGGAAAAGAGACAAGAUAAGAUUUAGACACAUCAGACCAUUUUUUUUAUCACUAAAGGAAUCAAUAAAGUUGCAUACAAGUUUGUGAUGCCUUCAGAAUUGGCUAAGGCACAUAAUGUAUUUUGUGUUCGAUGCGUUGUCACUAAGUGGCAGGGUCGUUACAUGGGACUUUGGUGCAACUAUUGAGAAUUAAGCCGGAUAUGAUUGGUGAGGAACUAAUGUCGACGUUGGAUUGGAAAAAGAAGGUCCUAAGAAUUAAGACAGAGUAAGUAGUAAAAGCUUUGUGAAGGAAAUCAUUCAGUAGAAAAUUAUGUGGGAGAAAGAGAAUCGGAUGAGAUUUAUCCGAGGCUAUUGUAUGAGUAUAGAUGAUUUGGUUGGUUGCUGGAAUUUCGGGGACGAAAUUCUAUAAGGAGGGGAGAUUGUCACAGCCCGUCCCGGAAUUUUUAAUUCCGAGGACAUGAAAUUACGGAAAUGUCCCUAAUACGUGACUAAGGUAUAAUUUUCACGUUCGUUAUAUCUAAGCUCCAAAAAAAUUUGGUAAUUAGAGUGGAGACUUAGACUUAAAUUUUAUGAUGGAAUUUUAUGAAAUUGGGAUUGGUUUGGACAUGUGGGAUCCCCACACCUCAAAACCCUCCCCAUUUCCCGUAUACUGUCCUUCAUACUCUCUCUCUUCCUCAGACCUCACUCUCUCUCUCUCUCACCCUCUCGAACACACAGGCAACCACCCAAAACCACCUAAAACUUAUACCAACGUCGGAUUUAAAGCUACCAUGGCAUUCCUGAGGACUCCACGAUCACGUAGACACCAAUUUCAGGUAAGUUUUACUUCGGAAAACCUAGAUUCUAAACUCCCCGUGAAAGUGCACUGUUCAUGAUCUUCGAAUUGACUUUGUUUUAGGACAAUCCAAGCUCAUAGCAAGCUUGGUGAGGUCCCAAGGAAGCUCGGAGUGCUUCGUUGGAAGUUUUUGGACGUAAGAACACGGAGAUCGACAAGUUCAAAGUUUGGCCGGAGCUUUCGAGGCGUUUUCCGGCGAAUCCCCGGCGAGUUAGGAGUCAAGGUAGGUAUCAAUCUCUUCGUCUCGUCAAGUACUACAACUUUCCUUUUUGUUUCACUCAAUUUCGUUGAGUAUUGAAGAAGUUAUACGCAUUUGAAAAAUACCCAGUUUCCGGCGACCUCCGAGGCUUUCGAGGCAGUUUCCGGCCAAACCACGGCGAACUAGGUGUUGUGCAAGGUACCAUUAUCUUUUUCUCUUCAAGGGCUACAACUUUCGUUUUUGAAUCACUUGAUUUCGUUGAGAAAUGACAAAGUUAUGGCAAUUUGAAAAACUGCCCAGAAAACGGCCGCCGGAAAAACCAGUCCGGCGACCCAAGGAAGAAGAAGGUGCUACAGUAAAAAUAAAAAAUAAAAAUAAAAUUAUUUUAAAAAUAUAUGUCGACGUCCGUGACGUCGAGUAGAUCACUGUGGUAUAUUCAUAUACCUAAAUUGAACACCGUAUGAGAAAGUUAUUAAGGAUUGUUGGUUAGGUGUUCAAAUAACGUUUUAUAGUUUUCACAUUUAGGUGAAAAUGUGAAUUGAUGAUCCGACCG